UCUCUCUUGAGUGGAUCCUGAGUACGACGGAGCACGUGAAAUUCCGUCGGAAUCUGGGAGGACCAUCUCCUAAGGCUAAAUACUCUCUAGUGACCGAUAGUGAACCAGUACCGUGAGGGAAAGGUGAAAAGCACCCCGGAAGGGGAGUGAAAUAGAACCUGAAACCGUGUGCUUACAAGUAGUCAGAGCCCGUUAAUGGGUGAUGGCGUGCCUUUUGUAGAAUGAACCGGCGAGUUACGAUUUGAUGCAAGGUUAAGCAGUAAAUGUGGAGCCGUAGCGAAAGCGAGUCUGAAUAGGGCGUUUAGUAUUUGGUCGUAGACCCGAAACCAGGUGAUCUACCCUUGGUCAGGUUGAAGUUCAGGUAACACUGAAUGGAGGACCGAACCGACUUACGUUGAAAAGUGAGCGGAUGAACUGAGGGUAGCGGAGAAAUUCCAAUCGAACCUGGAGAUAGCUGGUUCUCUCCGAAAUAGCUUUAGGGCUAGCCUCAAGUGAUGAUUAUUGGAGGUAGAGCACUGUUUGGACGAGGGGCCCCUCUCGGGUUACCGAAUUCAGACAAACUCCGAAUGCCAAUUAAUUUAACUUGGGAGUC
rnacentral:rRNA from 1 species